rnacentral:tRNA from 1 species
GGAGGGGUGGCAGAGUGGACGAUUGCGGCGGUCUUGAAAACCGCUGACCCGCAAGGGUCCGUGGGUUCGAAUCCCACCCCCUCCGCCA